UAUUAAUAAAUAAUUUGGACACAAAUCAAGCGAAAAAAUAAAUUGUGGACACAUGAAGUCAUGUCCACCGAGAUCUCCCGCAAUGAAAUAGUACUAAUGAGUACAAAGUAAUUUCAUAAAUUUGUACCAUAGCAUGGGUCUCCCGUGGAUAUGUUCAGUGGUAGCACUAAGUGAAGAAUGCAUAACAAAAACUAUAGGAGAGAUCAGCAAAGGUUAAGCAAUAAAAAUUCACGCUUUUUCUCAUGAUUGCACUUCACAUGUUCACAUUUUUCACCAGCAUUUUUAAGUGUCGUCUAAACCUUUGACAUUUCCUUCUUAUAUAAAUGAUCUUGAACCCUCUGGAAACUUGUGAGAUAUGAACACAUCUCUCGAAAGCCAUCGACCGCUUCAGAACAAUUCCUGGAAUCCUCUCACACCGUGCAUAAAACUUGGCCUUCGGUCCCAAUAAUAAUAUUUUCAGGAUCCUUCUUCAAUCGCCAUCAACAUUGUUUUCCUUGACGGUCAGCUAUCAACUUACGGUUGCGAACAUACUAGCUUUGGCAAAAUGUGUACGAGCUACUAAAGAAACUAAAGAUCGUUGGGGAACAACAUCGGGCAGUACCUUUGUUGUCUUUCAACUUCAUGGUUUCUUGAUUCUGACCUUGCGAUUUAUUUAAUUUUUUGCAGGGUGCAGGGCGACUGCCAUUGUUGGGAGGCCGGGCUUCAUUCCCUCAAGUAGUCGUGUCCACUGCCACACAGGACGGUGAGCAGGGGAGGAGAGAGAGACAGAC
rnacentral:lncRNA from 1 species